rnacentral:lncRNA from 1 species
UUUUAAACAAAGAUUCUCAUCAGAAUAUAGUAUACAAAAUGGGUUUUUAUACGUUUAAAGGUGCUUUAAAUCGUACUACUAUUAAAUUAUAUUCAAUGGCAAAUACUGAAAGAACUAUGAAAGUUGUUCUAGCGAAAAGAGGGCUUGAAUAUUCGUUAAAAGACGAGACAUUCAAAUGUAUCUCGGCCAUAAUGUAAAAUGGUGAAGAUGUUUUGGUUGUUUUGCCAACAGGUUAUGGGCUUAUUAUGGCAAAUAUUAAAAUAUUUCAGCUGCUACCUGACGUGUUACUUGGCGUAACUAAUUCUAUCGUGAUAGUAAUAUCUCCACAUGAAUGACCAACGCAUUUCUGCAUGCAUGAUGUCAAAGUAUGAUAAAAGGCCAUUCUGUGCUACACUAUAUUAUGGUGAUGGCAGCGAUAUCAAAUUACCAUUGGAUCGACAUGAGAACCUGACGUAUAAGCUGUUCUAUAUGUACCCAGAAAUGUGUGUCUGUGACAAGAAAAUACAAGCUUUUUUGAACUGUAUACUGUAAACCUCUGAAUAUAAUGCUCACCUCAUUCCAAAUAUAAGCCCCUCCCGAAAUAUAAGCCCCCCCUGAAUACAAGUCCCCUGAAUAUAAGCCCAGUAUCCCACUAUGUUAUUUAACAUUGACAUUGUCUUUUAAUAUAGCAGAGAACGAUAUUUGAAACACUGUCAUUGUCUUUAUAGCUUACUAUGUUAAUGGAGUGUGUUAUUAAUACAUGUUUAUUUUCCUGUUUAUGACUGACUUGUUUAUUACUAACACAAUUGAUCGUCUAUGUAUAAGGCCCCUGUGCAUAUAAGCCCCCCCCCUAAGCCCAUCAAAAAUCACUUACAAAAGAAUAUAAGCCCAGGGCUUAUAGUCAGAGGUUUACGGUAUUAUAU